UGGGCCCGGGGGGAUCCGCAAUUCAUGCCCAGGGCAGCGAGGGGCGGGGCGGAGGCAGAGCGCCCGGGUGUCCCGGCAGGACAGACGCGUCUCCGCGGAACACGGCGCUCCCCCAUCCCCGCAUUCACACCCGCCUUGCAGCGAGGCUUGGGGCGCUCCCCGCCCCCCCGCAGUGUUUCCAAUCCAACACUUGAAAGUCACGCCCGCCCCACCUUGGUGCUCAGGGCCCCGAUCAGCCAACUCGUAAGAACCAAACUGCCUGGGGACACUUGCCCAAACCAAGCCCUGCCUCGCCCGAGGAGGAAUGUGCCAAUGCAUAAAUUCGGUGACAAUGUGGAUACCAGAAAUGUCAUUGCAUCAAGCUUUUUAAAAGAAAUUACAACACACCAAGGUUCACGAUGCCACAUCACCCACUAAUGGAAUUACAACUGAAGCAAUGUGCUACUGGUGCCUUUUAUUUGCACACAUAGGAAAAUCUCAAUUUGCCAAAGUAAUUUAUAAUCUCCUAGCUCAGCAUUUCCUCUAUGGUCCCAGAGCUGAUGACAAGUGUAUUUAGCAGGCUUCGCUGUCGUGUGUGGCACGUAUGCUCUGGAGUUGGUUUGUGUUCAUUAAGUUGCAUUGUUGCGUUAAAGUAAUAUGAGAGACUAUUUCUGAAUAUUACAAAUGUUCUGUCAAACUGAACAUGUAUAGACUCUAAUAUCUUGUCUAGAGGGCAAUGUGUUUGAAAUCAAUUUUAAGAGGCAAAAUUUCCUCAACAGCUGUCAUGUUUGAGUUGUGAUCUAACAUUUACUAUAAAACAUGUCAACUUCUGUUUUCAAGCUAUACAGAUGUUUGAAGUGCCACAGCUGGGAGGGACUUGCAGGGUGCAAGUACUACUCACCAAUCUUUGCUCCCUGGAAACCCGUGGAGUUCAUUCUCCAGGGGAUCCACUCUGGUUUGAGCCAUGGAGGGAUGUGUCAGGAGGCACGGCGUUUGAUUUACUCAUGACUACCACGUUUCCUCCUCCUCUCUGAUUACUAGCACAAGCAUUCUGCAUAGGAAACUGUGCAGGGUUUGUGUGGGGUCCCAUGACGGACCAUACACAAACAAAAUAAUUCAGCCUUUGCAAUACUAGUUUGCUUCUCUUUUAGAAGCAAAAGCAAACAGGGACAGACUUGGCCCAUAAAAGGGACAGGAGACAGGCCCAGCGCAAAGCAAAAUAAUGAUAUGUUCUGCAACAAGAAGGAAUGUGGGAUAAUAACUACAAGGAACCAGCAAGCAAAGCACCCGAGGCCUGAGGCAGCAUGAGGAGGUGUCUGUAACAAUCAUGAGAGAGCAGCCCGGAGCCUUAACUUGUAAUGACUAUGUAGCCCACAUAUCAAAAGGCUCUCCCACCAACACACACAGCUACAAAUACAAUGAAGCCCUUUGAAAUGAAUACUGAAUAAAG